GUGGUUGGUGAUGGUAAAUCUGUGGGUAGUACAGUAGCAGCAGUCAGCGCAGUGGAGCUGACAGCAGAGCAGAGAAGACUCGGGACUACCGCACACAUGAAGGGACUCUCGUGGAUAACUCGCCUAUAUUUACCCGUCUGACCGGUGCUCCAGAGCCGAGGAGACACGCUCUUCUCCUCGCCAUCGGGUUGAUCCAACACUACCGUGGGGUCCUUCCUUCGCGGGGCUUGGCUUUUUUCCUGCGGGAGACUGAAUGGAGGCAGCAGCCGAGGGAGCGGUCGGGCUGUCGGAGGCCGGGGAAGGGAGUCCUCUGUCCGGGGCCGCAGCAUCUGAGGAUGGGGACGCGGUGAUGGGAGUCGGCUAUGGGAUGGACCCGGGUGAUAUGGAAGCAGCCAAGAAAGCCUUCAUCACAGAGAUGCCCUCGUCGUCAGGGCAACCAGGCCAGGGCAAGAAGAUCGGCCACAGAGGAGUCGAUGCAUCAGGAGAGACAACUUACAAGAAGACCACAUCAUCAGCUUUGAAAGGUGCUAUCCAGCUGGGCAUCGGUUACACAGUGGGCAACCUGAGCUCCAAACCAGAGAGAGAUGUUUUAAUGCAAGACUUCUACGUUGUGGAGAGCAUUUUCUUUCCCAGUGAAGGGAGCAACCUGACUCCAGCUCAUCAUUUCCCAGAUUUCCGUUUCAAAACGUACGCUCCUGUGGCCUUCCGUUACUUCAGAGAGCUCUUUGGCAUCAGGCCAGAUGACUACCUGUAUUCUUUAUGUAACGAGCCCUUGAUCGAGCUGUCCAACCCAGGAGCCAGCGGAUCAGUUUUCUACCUUACAAAAGACGAUGAGUUUAUCAUAAAAACUGUGAUGCACAAAGAGGCUGAGUUUUUACAGAAGCUGCUGCCUGGAUAUUAUAUGAACUUGAAUCAAAACCCUCGCACUUUGUUGCCCAAGUUUUUUGGCCUCUACUGCGUCCAGUCGGGUGGGAAGAACAUUCGAGUGGUGGUCAUGAACAACGUGCUGCCGCGGGUGGUCCGUAUGCACCUCAAGUACGACCUGAAGGGCUCUACAUACAAGAGGCGGGCAUCCAAGAAGGAGAGAGAGAAGGCCAAACCCACUUUCAAAGACCUGGACUUUAUGCAGGACAUCCCAGAUGGACUUAUAUUGGAUCAGGAUACUUACAAUGCAAUGGUGAAGACACUACAGCGGGACUGCUUGGUGCUGGAGAGCUUUAAGAUCAUGGACUACAGUCUGCUGCUGGGUGUUCACAACAUGGACCAGGCAGAGAGGGAGAGGCAGAUGGAGGGUUCCCAGGGAGACGAAAAGCGGCCCGUGGCCCAGCAGAAGGCCCUGUACUCCACCGCCAUGGAGUCCAUCCAGGGGGGAGCAGCGUGUGGCGGGUCUAUAGACACUGAUGACACGAUGGGUGGUAUCCCAGCUGUAAAUGGCAAAGGGGAGCGUCUUCUUCUGUACAUCGGGAUUAUCGACAUCCUACAGUCCUAUAGACUAAUCAAGAAACUGGAGCACACGUGGAAGGCCUUGGUUCAUGACGGAGACACCGUGUCCGUGCAUCGGCCCGGUUUCUAUGCCGACAGGUUUUACAAGUUCAUGAGCAACACCGUCUUCAAGAAGAGCUCCUCUCUGAAGUCAUCCCCCUCAAAGAAAGGCAGAGUGUCUCUCACAGUGCCCAGUAACAAGUGUCUAAUAGGACCUGGGGCAGCGUGGUCGGCCAGUCAGCUGACCUCAGAGAGGGACGAGAACAUCUACGACCUGAGAGGAGCCCGCAGCUUCCCCACCCUUGAGGAUGAAGGGCGACCUGAUCUUCUUCCUUGCACUCCUCCCUCAUUUGAAGAAGCCACAACAGCUUCCAUCGCCACCACUCUGUCGUCCACAACUUCACUGUCCAUCCCCGAGAGAUCGCCCUCGGACACAGCCGAGCACCCGCGAUACAGGUUCAAACUAUUGCGGCACACCCAGUCCCUCAGCCACGACGUAAGGACACAGGAGGAGCUUCGGGUGCGAGAGGAGGACCAGCAGACCAUCACUGUGGAGGUGGAGUUGAAACGGCCUGAUAGUGAACCCACUUUCUCUGUCCCGGAGACGCCUCCUAAACUCAGUGAUGUCCAGGAGGUAGAUGGUGCCGGAGUAGAGGCAGCGGUCCCUUGCAGCUCCAUUGACCCUGAAGUCCCCUCCUCCUCAACCCCCAUGAGCGCAGACGUGCCCCCCUCCAGUCCAAAAGUUGUGGUGGAGGAGGCAGACCCACCCAGCCAAGUGUCUGGAUCAGGGUGUACCAGCCAGGCCUCUGUCGACGACGAGGAUGAUGUGCCAAUCACAGAUAUUUACCUUAGGCGUUAACAGGAGGACCUCAGAAACCCAUUUGAAUCCAGCUGGUAUGAGAAACAUGGUGUGAACUUAUUGCUUACAGUUUGCAGUGUUAAAUUGGGUUGUGGUGUUGAAGUGACUUAUAAAAGCAUGCUCAGUUCACUGUUUUUACAUAGACACAUUGAGUGAGUCAGCUGGCGUGAUUUAGGUGCUUUUUUUUUUAGCUUUGGAAAGCUUUUUCUGUGUUGUCAAAUGGCAGGUCUAUAUAUCUUGAUCAAAAGGCUUUCAGAUUUUGUAGUGUAAGAGAAAGUAGCCCUUAUGUGUACACAGAGAAACAAGGCUAAACAUUUAAAGGAAUUUUUUUUAAAUAUCUAAUCUGAAAUCAGCAGUCACUUUGGUGAGUGUCAGGUUCUGUGCCAGUGAUAGCAGCUACAGAUAGGACUGUUCUCAUUUAACACAGCGUCUACAAGGUGUCUUCUAUCAGCAGUUAGACAAUCAGGUAUAUAAUGUCAAUGAGUUUGCAUGUUCAUAUAUGAAUGUAAGAAUGCAUGUUUUUAAGGUAUAUUUAACAUUUAAACACAAUAAUAAUAUAACAAUUGCAAGACAGAUGAGUUUAGUGCCAUUUUGCAGAACGUUCCAGGCAAAGCAAUAAAAAACAUGUAGUGGAUCCCUUCACCAGACAAGUUACAUAGGGUACAUUUAAAUGUAUCUUUAAAGGUGCACUGUGUAACUUGUCCCAUGGAGGGUCCGUCACCUGCUUGUCUUCAUGGAGAUUUGCCUAGAAUGUUCUGCAGUAUAACCACAACCCUGCGAAUUUCCAUAGAGACUUGCAAGCCAAAUUGUAGCAUACUGUGUAUAAUUAUUAGUUUAAUGCCAUACUGUGGACAAUUUAAACCAAAGCAUUAAUAUCUCCAUGGAGACAAACAGGUUGCAGACCCUCUCCAGAAAAGUUACACAGUGCACCUUUUCAUCUACACUAAAACUACAGUCCACUUGCACACAGAGAACAUUUCUCUUUGAAUAGAACUACAGCCUUUUGCACUGCUAAUAUCUCAGUUGUUCUGCCUCAUGGCUCAUUCAUGCUUCAGAAACAGAUGACACACAGCAGCAGGAGGCUCUAGCGCUGCAGGAGGCAAAGGCAGAAAAAUGAAGUUCACUGCAGAUACUCUAGGCAAUGCAGAAGUCACUCUCUGCUCAAAUCAAAAAGGAUGGUUGAUUCUCAUUUUGAACAAGAUAACCAAAUCAAAAGUUGAAGCUGAGACUACAAUAUGUCUUUUUCACAUAGUAACUGAAGUUUUUUCAUAUUACCAUAGGUUGUCCUACAGAUAAUUCCUAAACAAUUAGACAUAACAGUCAAAGGCAACAUCAUUUCUAUCAAAUAAAAUAAAUCAUGUUUGAUUGUGUCCAAGAAUUAUAACAUGAAUUGGAUAAAGUAAAAAUAAUAAUACAUAACAGUUGUAGUGCUUUUCACAAGACUCAAAGACACUUCACACAGUUCAAAAAAGAUAAAACACUAAUGAAAGAAACAGAUUUUCAGGGCUUUUUUGAAGUUGAAGAGUGUGGAUGAGUUUCUGAUGUGAAAAGUGUAAUAGAUUUGAUUCACACACUUGACCUGCUGGGUGAUGAUACGGUGAUGUGAGUGGAGCUGGAGUUGAAGACAGGUCGCUCAGUGUGAUUAAAUAAUUUAGCCCUUAUGGCCGCUCUUAUCACUUACUUUCCACCGUUCCUCUCUUUCACCCUCUUUUCAUCUGUUUUAAGUUCUUUCAUUCAUUUUAGUGUUAUUUCUUUCCAUUUCUACCAGUUCUUUCUUUAUUGUUACAUAAAUAUAAUGGUGUGGCAGGAUAAAAAUACAGUGUGCCAGACUUGAGAAUUCGUCUGUCAUCACUGACUCACCCACAUCCAACACGUUCACAACAACUUUUCUAUUUUCACUUCUGUAUGCUUUUUUGAUUGUGUUAUUUCACCUCUGUCAUGUCUUCCUCUCUUUUCAUAGUUCUGUUUUUAUUUUUUAUUUGUCCAUCUGCUGUGCACCUCUUCUGUCAGUUUCCUGAUGGUAGGACAUGGGUGGUGUCUCCUUUUCGCCAAAAGAGGAAAUGCCAGCCGAGUUGGCCCGUAAGUGUGUCCAGACAGUGCCCCCAGGCCCGGCUGUUGACAUAUGAGUGAACCCCUCCCUCAAUUAGAUGCAAUAGCAAUGUAAUAGUGUGUAACAGUCUUCCUGUUUGUAGAUUAUGUUGCAGAGGGAGUUUUUUAAAAUUUAUGCAACCAUGAGCUAUGACAGGUUUUUAUGUUUUUUCUAUUUGCUUUGGUUGGAUAGUAUAUCAGAAAAGACAGAAAAGACAAGUAACGUAUUGAUGAUAUUGUGAUCGUACUGUGUGAUGGUGUGUAAGCCGUCUAUAACUUAUAUACAAAUAAUUAUACAAAUGAACAAGAGGGAAUUCAUCAGUUGGUUCAGCAGAGUCCCAUGGGUUUAUAAAGAUAGGCCAAGGCACUCUGAUUAGUUAAGGACAUGGCAUGGACAAAGAUACAUUUAGACCUAUAUAAUCUUCACCAGGGCUUAGAAUAUAUUUUUAUGUGCUUCUUUGUCUUUAGUAUUCUUGGUCAUGUGUUGCAAAAGUAAACUCAACCCAUUCAUUGUUAACCUAUUAUUUAUUAAAUAUAUUGAUAUAACAUGCAUAGUUUGAUCAUUUUGCUUUUAAAUGAUUGUGCCUUGAGUAAACAAAAAUGUUUCUGCUGCUGGCUGUGUCAAAUCUUGCUUUUUCUUUGCUCUAAAGGUGUGUUAGUGUGGUUUGUAGUGUAAAAAUGCCUAUAUACUCCCUGUGGUGAAAAGACGGCAUUACUGUAGGCAGAAAAACAAAAGAUGAGGAGUUGGUUCUUUAUUUGAUUUAGUUGUUUACUGACAGCUCGCUUCAUCCCUCUAGCAUCAGAGUGGAUCUUGUGUGCAAGAAAGGCAGUCAGCUUUCUCUCCAUAGACCAACCAGACAUAACAUUGUAACAACUGACGAAAGUGAAGACAAGAUUCAAAAUGGCUAUGCUUGGAUAGAUUAGUCAAAAAGUAACAUUUUUCAACAAAAUAUAUCAAAAGAAAAAAAAAUUCAAAAGGAAUAUACCAGGCUCAAAGAGAAUGAAUGAAACUUUGGUUGGUCUGAUUUCACAUAAAUUGUCUUUGAUUUUUAUGCUGAUGAUUAAUGAUGAUAUUAAGUAAACCACGUUUAUUGGUGAUUACCAAAAAUACACAGUCAUAAAGUUAUGUCUGAUUGGUGGUUUGCCAUUUUGGUUGCUACCUACAGUUUCUGAAGACAUAAGCAAAGCGUUAUUAAGGUCUGCUGGAUGUAAGUGGCAUACUGUGUAGUUGAGGAAGCUGCUUGUGACCCUCCUAGCAUCUAUCUCCUCCCUCCUUCCUACCCUCUCCCCGCUCCUCAUACUCCCUGUUUUGGCUGCAGCACCUCAUCUUUCACAAAUGGGGCAACUUAGAGAUGUCAAAAACACAUCUAGACAUGUUACUGCAUUCCCUUUCUCAGUAAUGCAUCUUUAUGUACUUUUCUAACAGCUAAAAGGAUUACUACAUCCUUUUUAUACAUUUUGACGUGAUGUUUCAAAUCACACUUUUCCAAUGUCUCUCAGCAUCUCCUAAUGCAUCCCUAACUUUCAUUUCCUGUCUUGUCCUCUCUUCUUGUCUAUCUCCCUGCCUGCCCCUGCUGCUUGUCUGUGUGGCCCUUUCCCUCUGUCUCUCUGGCGCCCUCUGCUGUGGUGGGUGUGUAAAAGCCUCCAGAGGACAAGACCUGGGUGUAUUCUCCGCUACACUAUGAGUCUGAGGCCGUGCCAGAUGGGGAUUGGGAAAAAGAGACAUAAACCCUGACAGAAACAUCUUGGCAAUGGGAGAAGCCAGUCUGUGAUCCAGACUUCAGCAGUAGCCCUGGGAUCUCGGUCUGGACAUGGAUAUAUGAACUUUAAAGACUGAACCCUCCAGGGAUCUAAGGUGACUACAGUCCUGUGAUGAAGAUCCUGACAGUGAAGACAACAUCACAAAAGCUGAAUUGCUGAGUGAAUAUGUGUAAUAAGUGUACCAUAAAGCUCUAGUCGUAAGUGUCCAACAUCAAAAUAUUUUUCUGUGUUUUUUCAUGCACUCUAAAUGGUCCAAUUAUUCAACUAACUCCACAAAGCAAUUCAUUACUAAACUACAACUCGGCCAAUCAGAGCCCUCCACCAUACUGAAGAUCUAAAUGUGGCAUUGACUUUUGUAAACUGUGUGCUAUCUCUUACCAGCAAAACCAGUGUCCACCCAAGAGAUCACUGAUUUUAUUGUGCCAAGUAUCAAGGUGGAUUUAAGGAGCUUCAUCAUAAAUACACCAACAAUUGGUCUAUGUAUGUUCAAUUGCUAUUACUGUUAUUUAUAUUAAAUGUUUUUAUUUAUUAUUUUUCACAUGUAACUGAACAUUUCAUUUAUUAUUUGCACCCAAAGAUAUUUUAAGACUCUUUUUACUUAGUCUUAACAUUACUAGUAUUUUUAUGUAAAUUAAGUGUUAUUGACUCUGUCACUAUUUUGCUCUUUCUUUCACAAAUGCAUUUUUUUAGUGGGGGCUGUUACCUUAACAUCAACAUCGCUGGACUCAAAAAAAAUUGUAUGGUCAUCAUGUUUACAUUUUUUGAAAAAAAAAAAUAAUAAUAACAAUAACAAUAACAAUAAUAAUAAUUUUGGGACAAUUCUCUUUCACCUCAUCACUCCAAAACUAGUCCACUGGAUAACUCAGAAGUUGUUGUGCUGCAGUCACUUGUGUAUAAGUUUUCUGUCUAUUGAAUGAAGUAUGCUAUAGUUUAUGAAUGGGUUGAAUGUUGCAAAGGGGACAUACGUACAGGCCAAAAACUACAUUGCAGAUCUAAAUUUAGUCUCCUGUGGAAAAUGUGGAAUUAUUUCAGCAGUUACUUUACUUUAAAAAGUAAAACGUAUAGAUCAAUCAUUAUUUUUGUAUGCUCCUUCUGUUACAAGUCACAACCCUUUGCAUUUGUAUUGUUUUGGUGCUUUAAAUAUAAUUGGGAAAAGUAACAUUUUAUGCAUAAACUUUUGAAAUAAUUCCACAAUUCCAUAAUAUUCUUUUACUGUUGUGCUACUGCAUUUUGAUCAGAAAGCAAAAUAUUGUUAUUGUUUUCUACUCAAAUACCUUUUUAAGUGUAAUAUCAAAGCUACUGACACAAUUGGAGAGUUUAUAUUGUUUAAUUUGUGUACAUUUUGUGCAUUUGUUUCAAUAGCAGGACAGAUAAGUAUCACCAGAGGUGUAAAAUAGUUUAACUCAUUAGAUGUGCAGUUGUAAACAUUUCACUUUUGUUCACCAGACUGAGACAAGAGCAGCAAUAUUAUGUACAAUCUUUUCAGUUGAUGCCUUAUUGAAAAAAAGCCUGUUGUUUCUCACUUGUGCUGGUGUAUUUAAUUUAAUAGUCUUUAGUCGUGCUCCUGAGAAUGUGUACAUAAAAUUAUAAAUACAUAUAUAAAGAUAUACAAAUAUAUUUUCCAUUUGAAUCGGAGAAUAUUAUUUUUAUUUGUUUUUAUUUUUGCUGCUGGGCAAGAAACAAUUGCAAUCUAAUACAUUUUCUGUAUCAUAUUCUUGUGUGUUCAAUGAGGAGCAGCUGCUGUAUAUUUAGGUCUAUAAUCUGGAGCUGUUUCUUUGUAAAAAUGUCCCCAAAAAAUAAUGGACAGAUCAGCGGGAUCUACUGUAAAACAUGCAAGUCUAUAGAGAUUCUUCCAACUGUUCUGCUGUGUUUGUUGUGUAUGUGUUUUUCGCUGUGUGCCCUCAUCCAAUAGAGCGAGUCCUUUGCAGAGACAUAGCAUGAUUUCCAAUGAAUAUGCAUAUCAGAAAUGUGUAUUUAUGUAUAUCUGUUGUACAUUCAUCUAUUUACGAGUGCAGAUAAAUAGAUGGCUACGUGUGUGCGCGUGUGUCUGGACUCAAUCAAAAAUGAAAAUAAAAUAAAAGAUGUUCUAUAA